GCUCUUGAUUAGCGGCGGACGGGUGAGUAAUACCUAGGAAUCUGCCUGGUAGUGGGGGACAACGUUUCGAAAGGAACGCUAAUACCGCAUACGUCCUACGGGAGAAAGCAGGGGACCUUCGGGCCUUGCGCUAUCAGAUGAGCCUAGGUCGGAUUAGCUAGUUGGUGGGGUAAUGGCUCACCAAGGCGACGAUCCGUAACUGGUCUGAGAGGAUGAUCAGUCACACUGGAACUGAGACACGGUCCAGACUCCUACGGGAGGCAGCAGUGGGGAAUAUUGGACAAUGGGCGAAAGCCUGAUCCAGCCAUGCCGCGUGUGUGAAGAAGGUCUUCGGAUUGUAAAGCACUUUAAGUUGGGAGGAAGGGCAUUAACCUAAUACGUUAGUGUUUUGACGUUACCGACAGAAUAAGCACCGGCUAACUCUGUGCCAGCAGCCGCGGUAAUACAGAGGGUGCAAGCGUUAAUCGGAAUUACUGGGCGUAAAGCGCGCGUAGGUGGUUCGUUAAGUUGGAUGUGAAAUCCCCGGGCUCAACCUGGGAACUGCAUCCAAAACUGGCGAGCUAGAGUAGGGCAGAGGGUGGUGGAAUUUCCUGUGUAGCGGUGAAAUGCGUAGAUAUAGGAAGGAACACCAGUGGCGAAGGCGACCACCUGGGCUCAUA
rnacentral:rRNA from 1 species